UAUCUCCAUUUUGUACUGCAUAAUUCUGCCAGAAUGUACUUUUAUCACCUUGGUUUUGGACUUUAGUUUUGCUAUCUUUUGCUUUGCAAAUGGAAGAAAACUAGAAUUAAUGUGCAACAUUUCUGGUUACAAAUUAAUUAUGAAAAUUCAUUGCAAAUACAAGGCAAUACCAGAAAGAAAGGAAUCUUUCCUCUGUGUGUGAAACUUCCAAAAUCAAUAUUAUCUGGAUGGUCAACAUUACAUGAAGAAAGGAGAAAGCAUGGAGAAGAAGUACAGGAAAAAACAGAGUAUCAAGUAUCAUGAUGGAAAGGUAGAAGAGAUGCUUUCUGGUGGAUGCUGAAUCCUCACUUUCUGUGAUGGUACUAAAAAGGAGAUUAGUGCUGAUAAAAGAAUGACAGCAAUCAGCCUCUCCAAUGGAGAUGUAAAGAAGAUCUUGCCAGAUCAGAGGGUGAUUUAUUAUUAUGCAGAUGCACAGAAAACUCACACUGCUUAUCCAGAUGGCCUGGAGGUGCUGCAGUUCCCUAAUAAUCAGAUAGGAAUGCAAGAGCUCAUAAUGUGAACUAAAAAUAUUAUCCUGAUGUCACACAAGAACUUGUGUUCCCAGAUCACACAAUGAAAUGCCUCUGCAGGGAUGGACUGAAAGAAGCUUUUUUCCCAGAUGGCACAGUAGUAAAAUUAGAAAAGAGUGGAGAUAAACUGGUGGUAUUCAGUGAUGGCCAAAGGGAGAUUCACACUGCCCAGUUCAAGAGGAGGGAGCAGCCAGAUGUCACCAUGAAAACUGUUCUGCAACGACAGACAGGAAACAAAGUACUGCACUGGACAAGUCCAAAUCGAAGAUGAGGAGGGUAAUCUCAUCCUGGAUAAGAUGUGAUUCCUCCCUGCAGAAGGCUGUGGUGUGUAUAUGUGUGGCUCAAGGUCUUUUCUUGGCAGAACUGUUAGGAAGAUUUAACUUGUGAAAAUGAAUGGAUGGAUCUGAAGGGCUGAAAUUACUUUGGCUCAGCAACUGGUGAUUAGAUUGGAAUAACAUUAUCUGAAUGAAAUGUCUCUUGAGUGAGACUGAAGGAGAUGCAGUCAUGUCCUUUUUGAGUAUUCAACAUUAAAAUACCCACAGUACUUCCCACUAAAGUGUUUGUUUCAUGGUCACACUGAUCACACUUUCCCCAGUUUUUCUGCAAUUGUUGUGAAAGUUACUACAAGUAAGAACCCCAAAUAUACAGUUCAGUGCUGCCUUAUGAUGACUAAAAUAAAUCUACAUCGUUUUUUUUAUUAUCUGAGUUAAAAAAUGUAUGGAAGUGAUUCAUAUUUUUAGUUUAUUUGGAUUCUUUGGAGCAGAAUUUCCCAGUGUGUAUCAGGGAUUAUCAUGAGCUGGACACUAGACCAAAAUCUGAGCAGGAGUGGAGAGAACAGUCACAGCUCUGGAUGCCACUUCCAACCAAAGUUAUGCAAAAAUUAUAUGAUCAUAAUCUAAAAACUCUGCCUCAUGCAUUUGAAAAUAAAAUGUGAUGUUUAUUCCAUUCUAGUGAUUAUUCUGGAUCAAAGAUCUGGAUCUUUUAGAUCUUUCUUCUUCCUCCAGCAGUCUUUCCUCUGUGUUGCUUUGUCUUUGAAGUAACUUUCCCACUAUUGCUUUAAUUCUUGCAGUAGUGCAAAAAUAUUUCUGGUCAGUGAAUCUCUCCAUCUGUAAGGUUCUUUGGAUGGCACUUGAUAUUUUGGGGGAUUAAUAAUUUAUCAGAUGCUGCUUUCAACUGCCUUCCCCAUAGACUGCCUUUCAGAAAACCAUAGAAUGGUUUGGUUUGGAGAGGGCCUUAAAGACCAUCUAGUUCCAGCUCCCGCUGCCAUGGGCAGGGACAUGUUCCACUAGACCAGGUUGCCCAAAGCCCCAUCCAACCUGGCCUUCAACUCCUCCAGUGAAGUGAAUUUUUCCAAAUCAAUGAAACUCUUCACUUGUAGAGCUCAGCUCAUUACCUGCCCACCAGCUGUGAUGCCCAAUUAUCUCCAUAUGCCCUUCAAAUUCCUGUAGCAACAAAUACACUCUCAUAGCAUGAUGCUUUAGCCUUUUCUCACACCAAAGUGCAAAAAUUGCAACAUUAUGGAAGUGCUGCCUCUUCUUUUCUGUUUCCAGGGGCUCAGACAAUCAACAAAUCACCACUCAAAUUGCAGGGCAUCUUUCAAAGAAAGCAAGAAGCAUUGCUGAUCUUGAUCAUACACACACUUCAGUUUAUCAAUUUAAUUAUGAAGCUGUGAGAAGUUUGAUAUCAGCUGGUGUAAUGAUAAAAUUGUAUUGUUUUUCCUUAACUGCUUCAUAGCAGUCCUGCUUUCAACAACUGAAUAAGUUAAUAUAUUUUAUUUGUUUUGUAAAAGCAAAAUCUAACUAAAAUAAAAUCAAAACAUUCUUCUCCAUGUCUUUCACUAAGAAUUUCUAUUUGUCCUACCUCAUGCUGACCAAAACAGAUCUAUGAUUUUUUUUCUCAAUUAAACAUCAUAAAACAGUGACUGUGGCUAGUGUUUUCUGUUUGGCUGAGAAACUAGAUAUUAUACCAAUGUUUUAUAAAGGACCAUUGUUUUUAUUCCCAAGAAUUCCUCUAACAAAAGGUCCCUGUUCUUCAGUUAAAAUGCUGACAUUCUUUCUGUUUCUAUAGUAAAUCAGAAAACAGGCUUUGCUCACAGCUUUUAGCCUUAAUCACUGUUUAUUAUUCAAUAACCUGCCACAGAAUCCUGUGGAUAAGUAAUCCCUCCGAACUGUAAGCGCAAUACAGGACAAUUUUGUUAUCA